AUACGGAGGGUGCAAGCGUUAUUCGGAAUCACUGGGCGUAAAGGACGCGUAGGCGGGUUUGUAAGUCAGGUGUGAAAUCCUACAGCUCAACUGUAGAACUGCACUUGAAACUACAGACCUAGAGUAUGGAAGGGGCAGAUGGAAUUAGUGGUGUAGGGGUAAAAUCCGUAGAUAUCACUAGGAAUACCGAAAGCGAAGGCGAUCUGCUGGGACAUUACUGACGCUGAGGCGUGAAAGCGUGGGGAGCAAACAGGAUUAGAAACCCGGGUAGUCC
rnacentral:rRNA from 1 species